rnacentral:lncRNA from 1 species
AAAAAAGGAGGAAAGGAAAGAACACAAACCCUAGGUGGGAAAAUUGAAGAAAAAGUGUGGGAUUUCAAGGGAUUAAGCUAAUAAAGGUAAAAUUUUGUGAUUUUAUCUAGUGAUUUACUCUACCCAUGCUUUCUUUUUCAUUUUCCAUGCUUAGAACUCAAGUUUUCAUGAUGAACCCAUGUUGGCCGAAUUUGAGAGGAGAGGUUUUGAGCAUUGAUUUUGCUAGAUUUCAAGCUAAUUAAGUGUUUUUGGUUAUUUGGUAAUAGAAAGUAUGAAAAUCUAGCAAAGAAUCACUUUGUUCUUCACAAACCCACAAGAGGCCGAAUUUUCUAGGGAGGAUAUUGAGGCUAAAAUUGAUGAUAUUUCAUGAUAUUUUGGUGGUAUUUAAUGAUUGGUGAGGCUAGAAAUUUAAUGGGAAAUUUUGGCAUGAAAAUCUGAAUUUUUACCUAAUGUAUAGACAUGUGCGAUUUAUGGUUCGGACUGAUAAAUUGAAUCAUAUUCACAAUCAUUAAGGUAUUUUAAGUAUAAUUGGAGUGUAGAAAGUGAAAGAAAUCAAUUUGGAGUUAAAUUCGAGGAUUUAGCUAAUUACACCGAGAAUAGUGCAAAUUAGGUCGAAUACUGUAUCUAAAUGACUAUUCGGACAUUUUGCAUCACAUUUCAUGCAUUCAUAUAGAUUUAUAGAGCCUGAAAUAGUUUAUGAUAAAUUGACACAAUUUAUUGAACUUCGUGUCACGUAUGAUGUAUAAGUAGUGAGCCCUUUAACAAGGGUAAAGAAAUUGUGCCCGAAGAUCGAGAAUAGGAGUAUAUCGAACUCCUAGUACUGUGAGUAACCUUACUAUUGUCUUAAUUAUCUAAAGUGAUUUUUAUCCGAUUUUGUGAAUUUCAUGGAAAAUGAAUUAAAUGAUUAAUUUUUCGAUUUUAUAAACCAAAUGUGAUUUAAUGAAAUGAUUUCAUAAAAUUGUUUUAAAAUUGAAUAAUGGCUUUGAAAAUAGAGUAAUUGGAGACCAUUUCAUGUGUUGUAAAUUCAUGAUUUGAAUCGAAUGGCUUAUGACAAUAUUUGCAUGAAUGGUCGAAUUGGUAUUUGUGUUGAAAUAUAUGAACUGUGUAUUUAGCCUUGAAAGGUUGUGAAUUACAAUAAUUGUCAUAUCAUGUUAUUGAAUUUUAUUGAUUGGUGGGAUAAUUAUUAGCUUACUGCAGUGGGCGGGUUUCUGUGGACCAGCCUAUUAGAGGGGCACGGUAAACCCUGUUAUAUUUUACCUCAAUAUGAGAGGCAGGGUGGAUAACUCCUGAAGCUAACACUUUAGAGUUCACUUCACGCCAAACCACCACGUGAGGGUGAACUCAACCAACGCCAAGGAACGGCUAUGUUUUCAAAAUAAAAACAUGAUUUAUGCGUACAUAACUUUUUAUCAGCCUUGGCGGACUCGGUUGGGAUAACCCUCGAUCAAGGCAUCCCUGAUAACUGAGUAUGAGAAUGGUUUUGGCACGAGCCAAAGUUUUAAGAAAUUCAUAAGCCAUGUUGAAUACUCGAUUUAUAUGAAUUGAUUUUAUUUAAUUAAAACAAUUUGAAAGGUGAUGAAUUAUAGUAUGUUAAAUUGUUUUAUUUGUCUCCAUUUACUCAGCUUUAGAUAUUUUAGAUGGUAUUUGUUUACUCACUAGGAUUUUAUAAUCUCACCACCCUCAUUUCCAUCCAUUUCAGGUUCAAAAUAGUCUAUAGAUAGCACAUUUCGUCGAGGACUAGCAUUGGUUUGCAUCCUCCAAACUGUAGGUUCACAAUUUUUCUUACAUUCGAUUAUUCGAGGGUCCACUUGUUACUGUAAAUUAAAUUAAAUACUUUAGCUUAC